rnacentral:rRNA from 1 species
GGAUUCCCCCUAGUACUGCGAGUGAAGCGGGAAAAGCUCAAAUUUAAAAUCUGAUGGUCUUAUGGCUGUCCGAGUUGUAAUCUAGAGAAGUGUUUUCCGCGCUGGACCGUGUACAAGUCUCUUGGAACAGAGCAUCAUAGAGGGUGAGAAUCCCGUCUUUGACACAGACUACCAGUGCUUAUGUGAUUCGCUCUCAAAGAGUCGAGUUGUUUGGGAAUGCAGCUCAAAAUGGGUGGUAAAUUCCAUCUAAAGCUAAAUAUUGGCGAGAGACCGAUAGCGAACAAGUACCGUGAGGGAAAGAUGAAAAGAACUUUGGAAAGAGAGUUAAACAGUACGUGAAAUUGUUGAAAGGGAAACGCUUGAAGUCAGUCAUGUUGGCCAGAAAUCAACCUUGUUUUUGCUGGGUGUACUUUCUGGUUUUACGGGUCAGCAUCAAUUUUGACUGUUGGAUAAAAGCUAAUAUUUAUUCAUCUUCGGAUGUGUAGCCUUUGGUUGUAUACAACAGUUGGGAUUGAGGAACUCAGCACGCCGUAAAGGCCGGGUCCUUGGACCACGUACGUGCUUAGGAUGCUGGCAUAAUGGCUUUAAUCGACCCGUCUUGAAACACGGACCAAGGAGUCUAACAUGCCCGCGAGUGUUUGGGUGGAAAACCCGAGCGCGUAAUGAAAGUGAAAAGUUGAGAUCUUCGUCAUGGAGAGCAUCGACGCCCGGACCAGAUCUUUUGUGACGGUUCCGCGGUAGAGCGUGUAUGUUGGGACCCGAAAGAUGGUGAACUAUGCCUGAAUAGGGUGAAGCCAGAGGAAACUCUGGUGGAGGCUCGUAGCGAUUCUGACGUGCAAAAUCCA